rnacentral:rRNA from 1 species
GACGAACGCUGGCGGCGUGCCUAAUACAUGCAAGUCGAGCGGAUCUUUGGGAGCUUGCUCCCAAAGGGUAGCGGCGGACGGGUGAGUAACACGUGGGUAACCUGCCUAUGAGACUGGGAUAACUCCGGGAAACCGGGGCUAAUACCGGAUACUUUCUUUUCUCGCAUGAGAGAAGAGGGAAAGAUGGUUCUGCAAGCACUUACAGAUGGACCCGCGGCGCAUUAGCUAGUUGGUGAGGUAACGGCUCACCAAGGCGACGAGGCGUAGCCGACCUGGGAGGGUGAUCGGCCACACUGGGACUGAGACACGGCCCAGACGCCUACGGGAGGCAGCAGUAGGGAAUCUUCCGCAAUGGACGAAAGUCUGACGGAGCAACGCCGCGUGAGCGAAGAAGGCCUUCGGGUCGUAAAGCUCUGUUGUUAGGGAAGAACAAGUACGAGAGUAACUGCUCGUACCUUGACGGUACCUAACCAGAAAGCCACGGCUAACUACGUGCCAGCCGCCGCCGUAACAC